rnacentral:tRNA from 1 species
UGCACUGUCGUCUAAUGGUAAGGCACCUGCUCCUCAGGCAGGAGAUUUAUGGUUCGAUUCCAUACGGUGCAU